rnacentral:lncRNA from 1 species
GCCUCUGGAUUCAAAUUACUACUAUCUUUCCAUAAAACCUGAAGAAAUUCUGGAAAUGUUUUGCCUGUCUCUUCAUUGACUGUCUGAAAAUUUUUAUUUAAAUGUAAGAAAAUUCUUGCAAAACUAUAAGGGCUAUCCCCUUUAUGGUAAUGCAUAGUAUGAUUUGGGGAGAUGUUUUGCCUUUUAGGAAGAAAAAGAUAAAAUAAAGGCAAGUUAAUACACAGCAGAAAAAUAAAUAAAUCGAUAACAAUGUUAACUGUUCCUUUUUCAACAAUUUCUGCACAUUUUAUGUCCGAACAAAACGUAUUAAAACACUCAAAGUCAUACCCUAGCCAGGAUCCAGUGAUGUUAUUCAUUACAUGUUUCCAUUGCU